CAGAAGUCAUCUUCUUAACUCGAAAAACCAUUCUCCGUCUGAUGAAAUCUCUCUUCAUGUUCUCUUCUUUCUUUAUCUUCUUGCCCAUAUCGGCCUCUUUCUUGUGCCUCCUCGUUAUCUCUGAUGGUUUAGGUAGUUUGAUCUUGAUCGUUCCUUGUUCCAUUGAAACCCUAAACUUCUACGACGUUGACACAGACGAGUCUUGGCGAGUCUUUGCUCGUCUCAGGGAUGAUUUUAGAGUUUG